rnacentral:rRNA from 1 species
AACCUGCCUCAAGGAUUGGGAUAACUCCGAGAAAUCGGAGCUAAUACCGGAUAGUUCAACGGACCGCAUGGUCCGCUGAUGAAAGGCGCUCCGGCGUCACCUUGAGAUGGCCUUGCGGUGCAUUAGCUAGUUGGUGGGGUAACGGCCCACCAAGGCGACGAUGCAUAGCCGACCUGAGAGGGUGAUCGGCCA